rnacentral:lncRNA from 1 species
CUGUAAUAAUGGAUGCAGUAUGAGAAUUUCAUGCACUGAAAUACUUCAUUUCCAGUUUAUUUUUUUUUUCUUCCCUUAGAAGGCAGAGAGGUUCUUUGUUCGCUCAAGAAAGACAAAGCAUGGCUAAAUGUUGGAAGAUGGUGAGAGUACUUUUUUUUCAGAGCUUUCUGCCGAGCCGUCUCACGCAGCGGUUCUUCCCUCUGAGGUUACAACUUCUCCGAGGCUCUCGGGGCUGUAACUGCCCUCCCUCACUGCAGCCUGCGAACCCAAAAUGUUGGCUGAGGACCUCCCUCCUGUUCCUCACCUCGGUAAGUGGCUACAAGUCAGUGCCAUUUAAAAUUUAAUCAGUCUCAUCCUAACAGCACAUAGUUCUUGGAUUUUAACCCAUCUUCUACACAAACCACUAAAUUCAGCCACACUGCCUCCUGACAGAACCUUUAUCUCAAGAACCUCUUAAUGAGCUCUCAUUAGCACAAAUUGGCCCUGAAUAUCUCACCACUUCCUAUCUCUGCUUUCUUUGCAAUCCAUUAGCAUCUGUUAGCAGCCUCGUUUGAACAAUUAAACUUAAAGGUUUCUAGAAACACACAAGAAACACCAGGUUCUACUAUUAGAUCUGUGUCUUUGAGACACCUGGGAAGGGAUUCACACGGUCCAGCUUAACAGAGCCCAAAUUCUACCUGCACUUCAUUGUCCUCAGAGGAAGAUUUAACUUGUUUAUGUCACUUGUGACUCUGCCAGUCUCCAGAUCACUUUCUUGGAGGUCCCCUGGAAAUGCACCAAAACUCAGUGUCUGAUGUUAAACAGGAAGAAUCUACAUCUUUUCCUCACAGCCCAAGGUCACGUUUCUCUGGCUGAUCUCUGCACACAACUUUGCCUUCUCCUCAGAGUUGAUUUGCCACAGCUUUUUGCUGUCCUUGUUUAUGUCCACCUUGGAUGGCUCAAACUGCCCUAAGCAGCUGGAUUUUCACAGUCAGGAGAUAACAGGUUCUUAUUUAACUGCUUUUCAACCACCAGCAGGCAAACUCAAACUCCAAACCAUUACAAUGGGUCCUGAAAAUGUGCUCAUGGAUUAAAGGCUUGAGGGGCCCUGGAAGAUGCUGAUCCCUGGCAGAGGAUAUGGACUCCAUCCCUACUGAAAUCAGCCCCAACAGUAAUUGUGUGGUGUGAUGUGAACUGCUUUUCCUGCACUUGUCUGGUGACUGUGUUUAAAGUCCCCUGAGAACAAACAGAUCAGAGAUUUUACAGCUGCACAGAGCUUGUGCUUGAACAUUAAUGGCUAUGUUGGCAAGCAGAUGGGAGCUGGUUUUUCUUACUCUUUCCUAAAGAUGUACCAUCUUUUCUUUU